rnacentral:lncRNA from 1 species
GUUUAAACUUACACGAAUCGCUCUCUUGAGGAGGAGGGAACCGCCGCGCGAUUGACACGCAUAUUCCUAUAGGCAUCCUCCCUCAGCCCCCACCCCCACGGCCGGAUUCGGGUGGCUCCUCUCCGAGCUGAAAUCCGAGAAGAAAUCUCCUUGGAUCUCUUGUUAAAAAAAAAAAAAAAAAAAAAAUCCAGAAACCGUCGGUAUUUUGCUUUCCUGCUUCCUUUUCGCAUGAUGAAGAAGUUUUUCGACUCCAGGCGAGAGCAGGGUGGCUCUGGCCUGGGCUCCGGCUCCAGCGGAGGAGGGGGCAGCACCUCGGGCCUGGGCAGCGGCUACAUCGGACGGGUCUUUGGCAUUGGGCGACAGCAGGUCACUGUGGACGAGGUGCUGGCGGAAGGUGGAUUUGCCAUCGUGUUUCUGGUGAGGACAAGCAAUGGAAUGAAAUGUGCCUUGAAACGCAUGUUUGUCAACAACGAGCAUGAUCUCCAGGUGUGCAAGAGAGAAAUCCAGAUAAUGAGGGACCUGUCGGGGCAUAAGAACAUCGUGGGUUACAUUGACUCCAGUAUCAACAGUGUGAGUAGCGGUGAUGUGUGGGAAGUUCUCAUCCUGAUGGACUUCUGCAGGGGAGGCCAAGUGGUCAACCUGAUGAACCAGCGCCUGCAAACAGGUUUUACAGAAAAUGAAGUACUCCAGAUAUUUUGUGACACCUGUGAAGCUGUCGCCCGCCUGCAUCAGUGCAAAACUCCUAUUAUCCACCGUGACUUGAAGGUUGAGAAUAUUCUCUUGCAUGACCGAGGCCACUAUGUCCUGUGUGACUUUGGAAGUGCUACCAACAAAUUCCAGAACCCACAAACGGAAGGAGUCAAUGCAGUAGAAGAUGAGAUUAAGAAGUACACAACGCUGUCCUAUCGCGCACCAGAGAUGGUCAACCUGUAUAGUGGCAAGGUCAUCACGACGAAGGCAGACAUUUGGGCUCUCGGAUGUUUGUUGUAUAAAUUAUGUUACUUCACUUUGCCAUUUGGGGAGAGUCAAGUGGCAAUUUGUGAUGGAAACUUCACAAUUCCUGAUAACUCUCGAUAUUCCCAAGACAUGCACUGCCUAAUUAGGUAUAUGUUGGAACCAGACCCUGACAAAAGGCCGGAUAUUUACCAGGUUUCCUACUUCUCAUUUAAACUACUCAAGAAAGAAUGCCCAAUUCCAAAUGUACAGAACUCUCCCAUUCCUACAAAGCUCCCUGAACCAGUGAAAGCCAGUGAGGCAGCUGCAAAGAAGACCCAGCCAAAGGCCAGACUGACAGAUCCCAUUCCCACUACAGAGACGUCAAUUGCACCCCGCCAGAGGCCUAAAGCUGGGCAGACUCAGCCCAACCCAGGAAUCCUCCCCAUCCAACCAGCCCUGACCCCUCGGAAGAGGGCCACAGUUCAGCCCCCACCUCAAGCCGCAGGAUCCAGCAAUCAGCCUGGUCUUUUAGCCAGUGUUCCUCAACCAAAAACGCAGCCCCCACCCAGUCAACCGCUACCACAGUCUCAGCCCAAGCAGCCUCAGGCUCCUCCCACCUCACAGCAGCCGCCUUCCACACCAGCCCAGGCUCUGCCCACCCAGGCCCAGGCCACACCCCAGCACCAGCAGCAACUCUUCCUCAAGCAGCAGCAGCAGCAGCAGCAGCAGCAGCAGCAGACAGCGCCAUCUGCACAGCAGCCAGUGGGCACGUUCUACCAGCAGCCGCAGCAGCAGGCCCAGGCUCCGCAGUUUCAGGCAGUACACCCAGCAGCCCAGCAACCAGUGAUCGCUCAGUUCCCUGUGGUAUCUCAAGGAAGCUCUCAACAGCAGCUGAUACAAAACUUCUACCAGCAGCAGCAGCAGCAACAGCAGCUGGCCACAGCCCUGCAUCAACAACAGCUGCUGACUCAGCAGGCUGCCUUGCAGCAGAAGACGACAGUGGCGGCUGUACCGCAGCCCCAAGCACAGCCGGCCACAGCAGCCUCGCCAGCCCCUGCCCAGGAGCCAGCGAUUCAGGCCCCAGUAAGACAACAGCCGAAGGUUCAGACAACCCCACCUCCUACCAUCCAGGGGCAGAAACUUGGAUCUCUCACUCCUCCAUCAUCCCCCAAGGCCCAGCGUGCUGGGCACAGGCGAAUUCUCAGCGAUGUGACCCACAGCGCAGUCUUUGGGGUCCCUGCCAGCAAAUCAACCCAGCUGCUCCAAGCAGCUGCAGCUGAGGCCAGUCUCAAUAAGUCCAAGUCUGCAACCACCACUCCUUCAGGCUCCCCUCGGGCCUCCCAGCAAAAUGUUUAUAAUCCUUCAGAAGGUUCUACGUGGAAUCCCUUUGAUGACGACAAUUUCUCCAAACUCACAGCUGAAGAACUGCUAAACAAGGACUUUGCCAAGCUGGGGGAAGGCAAAUAUCCUGAGAAGCUUGGAGGCUCUGCUGAGAGUUUGAUCCCAGGCUUUCAACCAACCCAAGGUGAUGCUUUUGCUGCUCCCUCAUUUUCCGCUGGAACUGCUGAAAAAAGGAAGGGUGGGCAGACUGUGGAUUCUAGCCUUCCUCUUCUAAGUGUAUCUGAUCCUUUCAUUCCUCUUCAAGUACCUGAUGCACCAGGUCUCCAGAGAGAGCCCAUUCCCUCUCCUGUAAUAACUGUAGAGCACUUUAAAGAAUCGACGGGUGUUAAAGGCCUUCCCCUGUACCCGGACCCCUCCCGGGUACCUGGCACGAAAACUCAGAACAGUCUAGAAUCUGACUACUUGGCCCGAGAUGGCCCUUCCAGCAACAGUUCGUUCCACAGCAGUGAAGAGGAGGGGACCGACCUCGAGGGGGACAUGCUGGACUGCAGUGGCUCUCGCCCUCUGCUCUUGGAGUCGGAGGAAGAGGAUGAGAGCUGCAAGCCUCCGCAGGGGAAGCUAGGAGGAGCCACUCCCUUCACUCAGCCGGAGGUCACUUCCGCGCAGGCCAAGGCCUCGCAAGGUGGGAGGAAGAACCAAUUCGGAGCCCUCACCCAGCCGACCGCUGAUGGACUCGGUGAGCCAGAUGUGUUUGCCACUGCUCCCUUCCGGAGUUCAAGGAUUCCCGCUGAUGACAUUUUUGCCAAAGCCCCCUUUGUCUCCAAGGGCAACGUGGCCCUUUCCCAGCCAGAGGAGACGGAUGUGUUCUUGAGAGCUCCCUUUACCAAGAAGAAAGGCAUGGAGGAGUCAGCAGUUGCCCAGAGCCCCGCCCAGGAGCAGCCCGGUCUCCUCAGUCAGACCGAUGACAUCCCUCUGCUCCCAGGCCUGGAUCGAGCCGUGUACCCGUCCGCCCGAGCUCAGUAUUCCACUGCUGGCUUUGCCCAGCCGUCUAACCUCCCCUCCCAUCCUGUACAAGCAGCAGACCAUCUUGACAGCAUCUCUUCCAGGGGCUCUUCCCUGGAAUCUGGGGCCCAUCCUAAUGACAGAAACAAAGGACCUCAGCCCCAGAAAGAAGCUGUCUCAGGCCCCGUGGCAGGCAAACCAUUCCGCCCCCAGUCUUUAUCCAAAUAUUCCCGUCACUAUAGCCCGGAAGAUGAGCCGAAUCCAGAAGCCCAGCCCAUUGCUGCCUACAAAAUUGUUUCGCAAACCAAUAAGCAGUCGAUAGCUGGCUCCGUUUCCAUCACAUCCCUUGCCUCCAGGACUACGGAGCUGCCAGCUGCUGAUCCUUUUGCUUUAGCACCCUUUCCUUCAAAGUCAGGCAAACAGAAACCUUAGGAGCCAUGCCUGAGCCUCAGGCCUCUGUCUCUACCCUACCCUCAAUACCCACCACAUCACUCCCAGCUGAGCCUUCCUGAGAAGAUUUAUAUCAAUUAUUCUCUUUCAGUUCCGUGAGUCAGAGCAGAACUUCUUGAGUCAACAAACUCAGUCGAGGUGAUACUUAGUUGAAACUCCCUUAAGUUAUGCUCAUUGCUUUUGUUUAUAUUGAUUUCUGGACUUUGGGUGAGUGUGUCCAUCUUCACCUCCACCCAGAACUCUGCUUUCUGUUGUGUGCCUAGAAACUGUUUUAAUCUCAAACUGCUUGUCAGUAAAUCCAGAAAUAACUUCCCGAAGGGGCCAUGGUAUUGCUACUUUGAUUCCUGUAGUUCCUGUUCUGAGUCAUGUCUAAUGAGGAAUUAAGAUGAGUUCCUCCCAGACUUGGUUUCAUACUCUUGAAAAGGGUACAUUUCAGGAAAGAAACACAAGAUAAAAAUUCUGCUCAUCAAAAGGAAGUGUGAUCCUGAAGAUACUAAUCAUUCCUCUAAAACCAGCAACUCUAGAAAGCUUCUCUGGAUCUGAGUCUGUAGGCCACCCUGGUCCUCAUGCGUGAGUGUCGGUGGGUGUGUAAUGUGUGUUAGAUCCUUACCUUUGUAGAGAUGCAAACAUGAGAUUUCUGUGCUGGUGUCUGAUAGUGUGGAGCCUUCUCCCACGUGCACACUUUAAAAAUUCAUGUGAGUGCACAGCUGUGUGUGUACACUUCUGUUUGCACAGGAAACGUUCUUCCUUUAGGUAAAUCCUGUCCCACCUCGCGUACCUCCACAAUCACUCAUUUGCUGGUAUUUGUUCUCCUAACCUAACUUACGUGAACCCUGUUUUUAUUGCAUUCUUUUCUCAUGGCAAAAUUUAAUUUAUUGGAAUGAGUAGGAAAAUCCUGCUGGAAUGCAAUUUUCUAAGUAGAUUGUUUUUUCCUUUAGAAUUUGCUAUUAACAUUUCAUUUACAAAGUCUUGAAAAAUUAAC